rnacentral:rRNA from 1 species
UCGGGAAUAUUGCGCAAUGGAGGAAACUCUGACGCAGUGACGCCGCGUAUAGGAAGAAGGUUUCGGAUUGUAACUAUUGUCGUGAGGGAAGAAAAUGACAGUACCUCAGGAGGAAGCUCCGGCUAACUAUGUGCC